rnacentral:lncRNA from 1 species
CGGGGAGGUGCCUUGUGGCGUCCAUUGCGGCAUUUGCGCGCCGCGUGGUGCUAGCUCUUGCGCUCACCCUUGCCACCUCCUGCCUUUGUCCUUUCUUUCCCAACGCUUCGAGCUCUUCUUUCCCGCAUUCAUUCCCAAACAAGCUCUUUGUCGGCCAUUCUUCAUAGGUACAAGUCCGCGUUUAUCUCCACCCCUCCCGCCAAAAAAAAAGAAAAAGAAAAAAGCGUUGUCGCUUACGGUAAAAAGGGAUUUGGCUUCAUAUUUGGCUCUUGCCACUUACUACCCAGUUUACGUGACCUUGAACGAGUCCCUUGACCUCUUUGGGCCUUAACUUCUUUCUCCGUAAAAAUGAAGGGCUUGGGAAAGAUGGCCUCUAAGCUCUAGACUUGGGUGAUACCGUGAUCUUCAUUGAUGGCACAUCUCUUCCUGUCUCCCCCCACCCCCCUUUGUUUGAUACAUGAUACUCUACCCCUCACAUUCUCAUUUUUGCUCCUCACACAUAGUGGGUGCUUAGGAAAUACUGGCCGACCAAUUUUUUUUCUCCCACAGCAGGAUUUGAAGGCAGAAUCACUGGACAUAGUCUGGUUUUCCCAGCAGCUCUUGGACGCUCUCCACAUAUACGAGCCUCAGGUGCAGUCCAUCCUUUAGGAUCCCUGUUGAGUGUCUGUCUGAAAAGCUGGGUCCCAUUUUAUCUGUCAGAUAAGAGCAUCCCGAAGUUAGUCUUAUAUGUGGACAACUUGUUAAGAGAUACAGUGAAGAGGGUGAGGAAGCCAGCCAGUCUGUUUGGAAGAUACCUUGGACAGAACAA